rnacentral:misc_RNA from 1 species
GAAAUGCGAUACGUAGUGUGAAUUGCAGAAUUUAGUGAAUCAUCAAAUCUUUGAACGCACAUUGCGCCCUUUGGUAUUCCAAAGGGCAUGCCUGUUCGAGCGUCAUUUGUACCCUCAAGCUUUGCUUGGUGUUGGGCGUUUUUUGUCUUUGGCUCGCCCAAAGACUCGCCUUAAAACGAUUGGCAGCCGGCCUACUGGUUUCGCAGCGCAGCACAUUUUUGCGCUUGCAAUCAGCAAAAGAGGACGGCAAUCCAUCAAGACUCCUUCUCACGUUUGACCUCGGAUCAGGUAGGGAUACCCGCUGAACUUAAGC